AGCUCCAAUAGCGUAUAUUAAAGUUGUUGCGGUUAAAAAGCUCGUAGUUGGAUUUCUGCUGGGGACGACCGUUCCGCUCUCUGGGUGAGUAUCUGGUUCGGCUUUGGCAUUCUCUUGGAGAACGUUGUUGCACUUGAUUGUGUGGUGCGGUAUCCAGGACUUUUACUUGAGGAAAUUAGAGUGUUUCAAGCAGGCGCACGCCUUGAAUACAUUAGCAUGGAAUAAUAAGAUAGGACCUUAGUUCUAUUUUGUUGGUUUCUAGAGCUGAGGUAAUGAUUAAUAGGGAUAGUUGGGGGUAUUAAUAUUUAGCUGUCAGAGGUGAAAUUCUUGGAUUUGCUAAAGAUUGACUACUGCGAAAGCAUUUACCAAGGAUGUUUUCA
rnacentral:rRNA from 1 species